rnacentral:lncRNA from 1 species
GCUUGAGAGCUGACAACUCCCAUACAUCUGCCAGUCAGGGCUAUGCUAAGUCUCUCUACCACACCUCGUCCAGAGCAGAGGGACAGAAAGCCCCCUGCCCAGCCCAGGGAUAGCCAGACCGCUGAGAGGAUGAAACUCUGACAAGCCGACAGACCGCAGGGAAACGAGCACAACUACGCUGCUUCACACAGAGUGAUGCUGAGACUGGCUUAGGCUUGCAGCACCACUGAAGACUGGUACACGGCACUAGACAAUGACUAUUAGCCCCAAGACCAGCGAACAGUGAUCAACUGACCUCUGAGACAGGUAAGACUGUUACAAAUGUGAACAUUUACCACCCUGUGUAGAUAACUGUUACAUAUACUACAGAACGAGG